GAUGAUUAAAUUUACCAAUUCAAUUGUUUAACAAAGUCUCCCUUUCGGGUCCAUUUUUUUUCCUUUUAAAAUCUUGACUUUUUCCAAGGCUCUCAUUAGUAUUUAUGUUCAAAGUUUCCCAUCAGUUUCAUUCUUUAUUUUUCAUUUAAAAUCUUGUCGUUGUUCAAAAAGAUUCCUCAACUUAAAAGACAAGUGGAUAGAAAGCUGGAUCUCGAUAUGUAUGGUGGAUUGAUAUAUAGUCGUGUUCAUUCCUUUUUAACUAUACGUAGAUGAAAAGAUACUUGAGUACUAAAUCAAUUUUCUUUAAUUGAGAGCUAAAUUUAUUUUCGUCCAUCCUCAAUGCUCGAACAAUCUAUAUAUAAUUAUAAAGCAGGGCUUUAGACCACUGACGUGGCAUCCGUCAUUGAACAGGAAUGAUAUUUAUCUAAUUUCUCAAUUUUUUGAGCUUUUUCUUCUUUAUUUUAGGAUUCAUCCAUCCCGAAAAGGCGGAGCAUUCACAAUUUCCUGAGCCGUUUCAAACCAACACGUUUCAGAGCAAAUUCCCCAAACCGUUUCAAACCAGCACGUUUCAGAGCAAUUAUUCCACCGCUUCAAUUGCGAGCACUUAAAGCAAAAAAUGAAACAACAAGGCGGAUUCAAUUUCAAUGGUGCUUUAUUAUUUCCAUUACCUUCUUAAUCCGCAACUACCAGUCCUUGAUUUCCAAUGAAUCAUAUCUCAAGCUUGGAUACACACCGAUGAUUACAAAUCCCUUACUGUUCGACAUGGGUAAUUCUUUUCACUACCUAACCCUAAUCCCCUCUUAUUUUGUUUCUUUAAAAUUUUCUUGGUUAUAUACUUAUGAUAAUUGAAACGCAUGAAUUGAAUAUUGUUUGUUACUCUUUUGGAUUGUGCAGUAUUGUGAUUACAUUCACUUUCAGCAUCCAAGAAAAUUUCUGGUUCUCUUAAAUAUUUCUCAAUUAAUGUAAAGAUGAGGAUAACGAGAGUUAUUUUGCAGUAUUGUGAUUACAUUCACUUCCAGCAUCCAAGAAAAUUUUUGGUUUUCUCUUAAAUAUUUCUCAAUUAAUGUAAAGAUGAGGAUAACGAGAGUUAUUUUGCAGUAUUGUGAUUACAUUCACUUCCAAUAUCCAAGAAAAUUUCUGGUUUUCUCUUAAAUAUUUCUCAAUUAAUGUAAGAUGAGGAUAACGAGAGUUAUAGUAGUAUGGUUGAGGAAACAUAAUCAAGCUAUUGUGGGUUAUUAUAACUAAGUUUGUUUGCAGAUAUCAUUUGAAUGGUAAAGGUUUUUCUGAUAUUAUUGUUUGAGACACUUGUGGUGGUGCUAAAGAGCAGUUUCACUACAAAUAUUUCAAUUAUUAACGCAGGAGAUGGUCCUAGAAAACAUCCAGCUCAGGUUUGCACCUCACGUAAUUAAAAUAAUUGCUUUAAUAGACUGUUACAGUUAUCGGAGCGGCAAGCUAACCAACCAUGGGAAUUCUUUGAAACUUUUUUCUCCUUUGCUUCUUCUUCCUUUCCUUUUUGGCCUUCACAUUGUUAGUCUGGAGAGUGAGAUUUAUAUUAAGAAAAAAGAAGAGUGCAAAAAGAAAAACUGAGAAUAGUGUUUGCAAUUGGUAUUUGCAGCAUUUAUAGGUUCUAUAAUUGUGCUGAAAGUACACUUAGUGUGAAUAGUACUGAUAUAAUAAUUCAGUUUGUAUGUAGUUUCAUGUUCAACUAAGAUGUCAAUUUUACAAAAUUUAGCACCUCUGGUUUCUCUUUUUAUUGUUUUUAAUUACAUUGAGGGUAGUAUAGAGACUGAAACUUGGUAUUGUAGGCUUAUCUUGAUUUUUACUGGCUAUUUGCUCUAUGUUGAUCAGUUUGUGUGUCAUUGCUUCAUCUGAUGAAUCAAAUGUGCAAUAGAUAUUAGACUAUUAAGGUGGUCGUAGUAGUUGUUUCAAGAUAUGCUUCAUUUUUUCGUAGAUUUGACUGAUUUACCUUCCUUAGGAAAGAUCAGAAAAGGAAAACGCUUCUGCAAUGUAAUUUUGUGUUCUUAAAAUAAGUUCACAUGUUCUUGGGUAUUGACACAACAUUCAAAUUCACUAACGCUUCUAUUGGAAAUUAAAAUUGCAUAUACAAGAUUCUUCAUGUAUAUGAAGUUGAAAAAGAUAAGUCAGAUGCUUCUUAUGUGGGAUGGCACGAAUACUCCAUUAGUCACUAUCAAUUAUCUAAACAAAGUGAGUGCUUUUUACUUUCCUAAGUAGGCUUUGAACUCGGAGUACACUUGUGAUGUCAGUAGACAAAGUUCAAUUAGGAGAGGUGCGCAGUGGAAUGGAACUUUACCAAGCCGAAGUGGCUUACUCUUGCAAUAGCUUUAUUCUGCUUACAAUCGUUUGGGUUACAUCUUUAUCAAGGCCUCAAGGGCUAUAUAUGGACAUACUGAAGAACAACAACACUAAUGUAUAUAUGGUAAAAUUCUCUUCCACUUUUUUUUCUUCCUUUUGCAUUAUUUUGUGGAGGCAACAUAUCN
rnacentral:lncRNA from 1 species